rnacentral:rRNA from 1 species
UACGUAGGGGGCAAGCGUUGGCCGGAAUCAUUGGGCGUAAAGCGCGUGUAGGCGGCUCGAUAAGUCUGCUGUGAAAGUCCAGGGCUCAACCCUGGGAUGCCGGUGGAUACUGUCGAGCUCGAGUCCGGAAGAGGCGAGUGGAAUUCCUGGUGUAGCGGUGAAAUGCGCAGAUAUCAGGAGGAACACCAAUGGCGAAGGCAGCUCGCUGGGACGUGACUGACGCUGAGACGCGAAAGCGUGGGGAGCAAACAGG